AUUGAACGCUGGCGGCAGGCCUAACACAUGCAAGUCGAGCGAGCGGCGGACAGGGGAGUGAUGUCUGGGGAACUGCCUGAUGGAGGGGGGUAACUCCUGGGAACGGUAUGUAAUAUCGCGUACCAUCAGAGGUGACCAGAUGGGAUUAUCUAGUAGGGGGGGUAAAGGCUCACCUAGGCGAGGCGCCCUCGCUGGUCUGAGAGGAUGACCAGCCACACUGGAACUGAGACACGGCCCAUACUCCUACGGGAGGCAGCAGUGGGGAAUAUUGCACAAUGGGCGCAAGCCUGAGGCAGCCAUGCCGCGUGUGUGAAGAAGGCCUUCGGGUUGUAAAGCACUUUCAGCGGGGAGGCGUUACCCGCAGAAGAAGCACCGGCUAACUCCGUGCCAGCAGCCGCGGUAAUUC
rnacentral:rRNA from 1 species